rnacentral:lncRNA from 1 species
AUGGUUUUUCUUUCCACAGUUCCACUUGUGGUGGCACCAAGUCCCUUGGAGCUAGGAUUCACCUCCUGGCAUCACUGGAGACCUGAGGUGACGGAGCCCAGCCGAAGCUGGCACUGCAGCGUGGUCUCCCCUUGUGCUGGAGGAGAGGGGAGGGAGAUGCUGACGGGCUCCUUGCCCAGGGACAAAAAUCCUCCAGGCUUCCCCGUCCUGGGGUGGAAGCGGAGUGUGAUCCCUGCCCUUGCUGUGGAAGGAGAAGAUCUGCCCCAAGGUGCCAUCCCUCCCUCCAUCCCAGCAUGUAUUUUUUGUCCACGACUCCAACCGCCCAGCUCUUCAUCAUCCUUCCUCUCCAUCACCGAGCCCUCGUUUGUCUGCCCGCUCCUCUCUGAUUUUAGGCUUUAA